GCUACUCUGCUAAGUCAGUAUUGGGGUUUUUUGUUGUUGUUUGUUUCUGUAACAGUUUGUUCAUGGAAAGGAAGAAAUCUGAGGAACAGAGAAGGGCUGAGGCGGUCACGUUCACCCAGCAAGGCCACGUGCAGCUGCUGGGUUUCCAUUCGGAAAGUAAAGAUGUCUGAUGAACCACCAGAGAGACGAUGAGGUGGGAUAGGAAGAAGAGCGGGCCCUGGGAGAGCCACGUGGCCCCGUCCGGGCCAGGGUCCCCUGGGCCUGCACCCCUGUGCUUCCCGUCCAGCCCCGGGGGGGAAGCUGCUUGCCUGUUCCAUCAGCUGGAGUCAUUUGGAGCCCGCCAGGUUCUCCUUCCCGUACAGGUGUGCAACUGGGAUAACCGAUGAUUAAUGCAUGUGUCUGGCCGGGCCUUCCGGGUAAUUCGAUUUGCUUGAUAUCCAGAGUACCCCCCGCCCCCUUCCUUCCACCUCCCUUUCUUUCCCUGAGUUUGU
rnacentral:lncRNA from 1 species